rnacentral:rRNA from 1 species
UUGACCUCAGAUCAGGCAGCAUUACCC